GACUCGCUUCCGUGAAGGUAUGAUAGAUGGAUGGAUAGAGAGAAGGUGUGAUGAUGGAUGGAUAGAAGGUGUGAUGGAUGGAUAGAUAGAAGGUGUGAUGGAUGGAUAGACAGAAGGUGUGAUGUAUGGAUGGAUAGACAGAAGGUGUGAUGGAUGGAUGGAUAGAAGGUGUGAUGGAUGGCUAGACAGAAGGUGUGAUGGAUAGAUGGAUAGACAGAAGGUGUGAUGUA
rnacentral:lncRNA from 1 species